UAUACUCUUAAGGCUGUUUUAUGCUUCUGCGUCAACUCCACACCAUGGCUGCGGCAUCGUGACCCUUUCAGAGUUCUGCGUCAGGGUUGCUUUGCAUCGCGGUUCAUUUCACCGCCAAAACACUAGGGGAAAAAAAGUCUGAGGUUAUUUGUGAGGUGUCUGCCAGCCAGUUUAUAUUAUGUUAGCAAGCCAACUUUAUCACAACUUCCCACAAAGUACUGUUUGCUGGCAAAGUGAUAAUUUGAAAAUUUACUGACAUAUAGACCCUUUACAAGCGGAUAACCCCGUCAUUGUAACCUAAAUAUGCGUUUGUAUAUGUAUAUGAGUUUAUUUGCAAAGCUUAUGUCAGUGAACUAGCAUGUUGCUACUCACCACAGUAGGCUGCUUGAAACACCGACUGUCAACACACAGGACGAGUUGACCAAUCACAGUCCUUGCGCUCUGCGUCAACUCGGCGCAAAGU